rnacentral:rRNA from 1 species
AUUGAACGCUGGCGGCAUGCCUUACACAUGCAAGUCGAACGGCAGCACGGGAGCAAUCCUGGUGGCGAGUGGCGAACGGGUGAGUAAUAUAUCGGAACGUGCCCGGUCGUGGGGAUAACGUAGCGAAAGCUACGCUAAUACCGCAUACGAUCUACGGAUGAAAGCGGGGGAUCGCAAGACCUCGCGCGAUUGGAGCGGCCGAUAUCAGAUUAGGUAGUUGGUGAGGUAAAGGCUCACCAAGCCGACGAUCUGUAGCUGGUCUGAGAGGACGACCAGCCACACUGGGACUGAGACACGGCCCAGACUCCUACGGGAGGCAGCAGUGGGGAAUUUUGGACAAUGGGCGCAAGCCUGAUCCAGCAAUGCCGCGUGCAGGAUGAAGGCCUUCGGUUGGU